rnacentral:rRNA from 1 species
ACGAACGCUGGCGGCGUGCUUAACACAUGCAAGUCGAACGGAAAGGCCCUGCUUUUGUGGGGUGCUCGAGUGGCGAACGGGUGAGUAACCCGUGAGUAACCUGCCCUUGACUUUGGGAUAACUUCAGGAAACUGGGGCUAAUACCGGAUAGGAGCUCCUGCUGCAUGGUGGGGGUUGGAAAGUUUCGGCGGUUGGGGAUGGACUCGCGGCUUAUCAGCUUGUUGGUGGGGUAGUGGCUUACCAAGGCUUUGACGGGUAGCCGGCCUGAGAGGGUGACCGGCCACAUUGGGACUGAGAUACGGCCCAGACUCCUACGGGAGGCAGCAGUGGGGAAUAGUGCACAAUGGGCGGAAGCCUGAUGCAGCAACGCCGCGUGCGGGAUGACGGCCUUCGGGUUGUAAACCGCUUUCGCCUGUGACGAAGCGUGAGUGACGGUAAUGGGUAAAGAAGCACCGGCUAACUACGUG